rnacentral:rRNA from 1 species
CAGUCGCCGCGGGAAAACGGAGGGGGCUAGCGUUGUUCGGAAUUACUGGGCGUAAAGCGCACGUAGGCGGCUUUGUAAGUCAGAGGUGAAAGCCCGGGGCUCAACCCCGGAAUUGCCUUUGAGACUGCAUCGCUUGAAUCCAGGAGAGGUGAGUGGAAUUCCGAGUGUAGAGGUGAAAUUCGUAGAUAUUCGGAAGAACACCAGUGGCGAAGGCGGCUCACUGGACUGGUAUUGACGCUGAGGUGCGAAAGCGUGGGGAGCAAACAGGAUUAGAUACCCCCGUAGUCCCUGUCUCUUAUAC